rnacentral:ncRNA from 12 species
GGUUGGGCAGGAACUGCUUCAAGAUGAUUGGCUUAUUGGGUGGGGAGCU